UACGGAAGGGGCAAGCGUUGUUCGGAAUCAUUGGGCGUAAAGGGCGCGUAGGCGGCCCGCUAAGUCGAACGUGAAAUCCCCAGGCUUAACCUGGGAACUGCGUCCGAUACUGGCAGGCUUGAAUCCGGGAGAGGGAUGUGGAAUUCCAGGUGUAGCGGUGAAAUGCGUAGAUAUCUGGAGGAACACCGGUGGCGAAGGCGGCAUCCUGGACCGGCAUUGACGCUGAGGCGCGAAAGCUAGGGGAGCAAACGGG
rnacentral:rRNA from 1 species